CAUGUGUAAGGAGAGGAGGACGAGAUAGUCCAGGCAGGGAGUGAAAGAAGAAGACUCCUGAAAGAAGAGAUCAAAGGCUCACCUUGUCUCCAUGAGGUUUCUUAUGGAGGCCACGCCUCUCCCUCCAUCUCCCCUCUCUCUCUCUCUCUCUCUUCUGUGUGCAGAGCGAGAGGCCAUUAUCUGAAGCACAGUGAGCACGUACGAUGGAAUGGAGGAGUAUGCAGUGAGCAGAGGCAGAGAGAGCACAGGGAGCGGCAGCCGAGAGCAACAGGGCUCCUUCAGAGACUCAACCAUCAUCGAGACAGCUUCACGUCUGCUCUGCAUCUCGUGCACAUCAUACGUACUCAACAACAAGUCCAGGUUUAGCAAUGUCUCGAAUGACCGCGAGGCAGCAGGAAAGGGUUUUAUGUAACGUCGCCUCCACGAAAACAUGAGGAAACAGCAAUGGUGAAUUGCUUUCUCGUGGCGUCUGCAACCAACAUCAAGUGUCACUGUGUGUUCGAGGUUCUACUUUCGGCGCUCGCCAAAGAAGAAUCGCCUCGUCAUGCCGCGGGCACCUCAGUCACUAUCUUCAUGUCGCGGCGAGCAAGCACGGACGGAAGCCCGCUCAGAUUGAAGGUUGCGAGGCUUGUUGGGAUAAGGAGAAGUGAUAGCUGCGUAGAGGCAACGCUGGACUGGCGGGAUCAAGAUUCAAGGAAACAGACGUGUUUGAACGGUCUUCUGCAGGAUGGACGUCUUCUCAUCGGCGUUACGUUGUUGUGUCUCUGCUCUUAUCUCUGUGGAAGCUUUCAAGACCACUGACUCUGGCCUUCUGGAUUGACUGCCCUCGCGCUUGAGUUUGGAGCAGCGAAGGUGGCGAGAGGAACGUUGCCAUCUUUUUUGCUCCGAUAUAGCGUUUUUGUCUGGUGUUCUCUGGAUGUUUAACGCCCGCACUUCUGCAAGGCAAAAAUAUCUCCAUCAGCCCACGGACUCUCCUCUGUGCUCUCCCUCCAUCUCUGCGCUUCACACUGGCCGAUCUCCUCACGUCCCACUUUUCUUUUCUUUCUUCCCUGCACAGUUCGACCGAAACACUGAAACUGUUUAGCUUUACCCACAGGCAUGUCUUAGUAAGCUUAAGAAGAACCAGCAGCGCAGUGGAAGCAGACGGAGAGGAGAAAUAGAGCAAUAGGGUCACAUGACCACAGCGUGCCAACCAGUUAAAGGGAAAGCUGAGCGCAGGAGAGGAAGCAACCACGUGACCAAGCAAAGGCAGCAACGUCAUCCUCUCCGGUGUUUCCCUCCGCCUCUGGUUGGUGGUCUGACAAACUCAUGUGAAGAACGCCUCGUAUGUCUGACUUCACCUGACCAAACAAAGACUACGUCACUGGAUCGAACCCAGAAAAUGAAUCAAGCAGUAGCGACAACAUAACUCCGGUCUUCCACCAUCACCGUUGCUCUGUCGCUGCAGCCGCGAGGCUACGUUUGGCCGAAAACCUCUCCCUCUCAGGGAGCAGCCAGCUUUAGCACCUUGAUAUUAUCUGAGCCAGCGGUUUCCAGAGGUCAUAUUUCUAGUCUCACACUUUUCACCUCCAUGCAAACAAAUAAUUCAGAGGCUGCCGAGGCUCUGUUUCUCCUUCACUCUAGCGCACAGUCACAUAGGAAUGAGCGUCAAAGGAAGGAAACUAGUUAAGGAUCACUGUUCGUCCAUGUCCCUAAACCUCAACUCCACAGCCUGAUCUCUCAUCUAGUCUUGCUUCCCCCACUGAUUCUCUCCAGGCCUUUGUUUUCCUCGACCAUAACCCGCCGUGCUUUUCCCAGCGCCGACCCACGGAUGAGCGUCAUCCCAAAAUAGCUGCUCAAGCGGCGCUCGGGGGAAAUCCACGUGGAAGUGAAGGCAUGGGGGUGACAUAAAUGCACCGUCAUGGUGGCCGGUGUUUCCCAGCAGAACGCCCUCGCCCACCUCCCCGGAAGCGCGUGUCAUUUCAAAAGCUUCGCCUUAGAUCAUCCACCUCAGAUGACAUCACCACUCGUCAUCUUUCCUGUUGCUCUUUUUAACCAUGCAGCGGAACCUGAUGAGUAUUUUCGUGACCUGGCUUGACUUUACGCUCAGUCAGCCGGGAAAAAAAAAAAAGGCGGCGGCGGCUUCUCUACAGACUUUGCCCCAGUGAGCCGCUCUGAUGUUACCUAAUCCACACCUCUGGUUACUGACUUACUAGAAACCACACACUGUAACUUUGAAAUGUGCGAUAGCAUCACAUUAAAAGCAAAAGUCGGUAUCACACCCCCAA